ensembl:lncRNA
GUUCAUGUGGAAUCAUUUUGUAAGGACACAAUGAACACACGACUGUGAUUUUGGACGUAGCAUUUCAUAUGGAGAUGAGAUCCAGGACUGUAGCUGUGCUGUCAGACUGCAGCUCUCACACUGAACAGAGCUGCACCGCUCUCACAGUCCUGCUAUUGAAGUCCUCACACACACACACACACACUCCUCAAUACACUUCUUCAUCUCCUCAUAUCCGCUGUGUACAAAUCGCCUUUGAAAACAAGCACAAUGCCAGACGUCAUGCUAAUAUUUAUUUCCCGUUGCUGUUUAUACUGCGCUCCGCUCUUCUGGGAAGGCUUUCCGUUCGAUUUUGGAUCGCGGCUGUGGGGAUUUGUGUUCAUCGGUGGGCGAGGAGGCCUGGCACUGGGGCGUUCCAGUUCAUCCCAAACUUGGGG